AAUUACUGGGUGUAAAGGGAGCGCAGGUGGGCUGACAAGUCAAAUGUGAAAGCAGGAGCUCAACUCCUGAACUGCGUUUGAUACUGUUGGUCUUGAGUGGAGUAGAGGAAACGGAAUUCCCGGUGUAGCGGUGGAAUGCGUAGAUAUCGGGAGGAACACCAGUGGCGAAGGGGCUUUCUGGGCUCUAACUGACACUGAGGCUCGAAAGCGUGGGUAGCAAACAGGAUUAGAACCCUGGUAGUCCACGCCGUAAACGAUGAUUACUAGGUGUGGGUGGACUGACCCCAUCCGGCCGCAGUUAACACAAUAAGUAAUCCACCUGGGGAGUACGGCCGCAAGGUUGAAACUCAAGGAAUUGACGGGGGCCCGCACAAGCAGUGGAGUAUGUGGUUUAAUUCGAAGCAACGCGAAAACCUUACCAGGUCUUGACAUCGUGAGACAGUCCAAGAGAUUGGAUCUUCCCUUCGGGGAUCACAGACAGGUGGUGCAUGGUUGUCGUCAGCUCGUGUCGUGAGAUGUUGGGUUAAGUCCGCAACGAGCGCAACCCUUGUUGAUAGUUACUACGCAAAGAGGACUCUAUCGAGACUGCCGGGACAACACGGAGGAAGGCGGGGAUGACGUCAAAUCAUCAUGCCCUUUAUGACCUGGGCUCACACGUACUACAAUGGCCGUUAACAGAGGGCACCGAAGCAGUGAUGCAGAGGAAAUCCGUAAAAGCGGUCUCAGUUCAGAUUGCAGGCUGCAACUCGCCUGCAUGAAGUCGGAAUUGCUGUAAUCGCGGAUCAGCAUGCCGCGGUGAAUACGUUCCCGGGCCUUGCACACACCGCCCGU
rnacentral:rRNA from 1 species